UGUCCAGGGCGGGAAUCGAACCCACAACCUUUCGCUUACCGGGCAGAUGCCAUGUCCACUAGGCUACCCUGGAC
rnacentral:tRNA from 1 species